rnacentral:rRNA from 1 species
UUUGAACGCUGGCGGCAGGCCUAACACAUGCAAGUCGAGCGAGCGGCGGACGGGUGAGUAAUAUCUGGGAAACUGCCUGAUGUAGGGGGGUAACUACUGGAAAUGGUAGCUAAUACCGCAUACCAUCAGAUGUGCCCAGAUGGGCUUAGCUGGUAGGUGGGGUAACGGCUCACCUAGGCGACGAUCCCUAGCUGGUCUGAGAGGAUGACCAGCGACACUGGAACUGAGACACGGGCCAGACUCCUACGGGAGGCAGCAGUGGGGAAUAUUGCACAAUGGGCGCAAGCCUGAUGCAGCCAGGCCGCGUGUGUGAAGAAGGCCUUCGGGUUGUAAAGCACUUUCAGCGGGGAGGCGUUACCCGGAGAAGAAGCACCGGCUAACUCCGUGCCAGCAGCCGCGGUAAUAC